AGGUGGUGUUUGACUCUGAGAUUUGAGAAUCAUUAGAUGGUCAGGAAUGAACGGGGACCAUGAUCUGCCGGCCGGAAUCAUCCUGAUCGACCUAUGACUUGGACGGCCAGGAAUGAUCGGUUGUGUUUUUUUUUUCAAAUCCCCAAAUUCACGAAACCAGGGGAUUAUGCUCGACUACUCCUGCUAACGACUUCUCACCAGUAUCUUUCUGCUAACCCUGUCUCUGAAUUUCCAUGUUUUCUUAAUCGUGUUUUCUUUCGAAAUCAGAACCUUGCUACCUUUUAAUGGUUGACGUAAGGGUUUUCUCAUCUUUAAGAUUAGUUAAGGCUGAUUUACAGUUCGAUGGAAGCGCCUUCUCAGUCAAAAUUGAACAUUGCCGUGAUUCCGCAUUGAUUUAACAGUACGUAGAAGAUAGAAGGGGAGGAUUGGUGAUGACCAGAAGAGGUUUCAACAGUAAAAGGAAUUCAAGGAUGCCUCUUACUGAAAUAUAUUCAAGUUUUUUAUGUAUGCUUGAAGAUGGACGUACUUAAUUAAACAAGAAAUGAUUAAUUAUGGGUGGAAUCCUGGAGUACAUUCAGGAGAAUUAAUGAUGGGGGAUUUAUUUUUUGGUUGCGAUUUUUUCGCUUUACGAUAUGGUGCUUUUUUGGUUAUGUGUAAGAGAUUUGAAGAAGAAAGAUGACGGAGGAAUAUAAGAAGGAGGGAAUCAUAUAGAAAUACUAGAAUUAUAUUGUUAAUGUAUUUAUUUUUGUACUUAACAUCUGGAUCAAAUCAAAUUGAUAGAUUCAAUUUGCUGAUGAAACUUGAGACUUUUUUAUGUUGUUUUUGUAUUGAGUUCAUGAGGCAGAAACAUAUGUGAACUAUGCAGCAAUUUAGGUGUAUAUAAGUUUUAGGAGAAGAGGCAUCAAUUGUAUGAUUCAUCUUGAGUAAUCGUUCAUACUGCCUAUUCCUAGAAAAGAUUAUCGCAUUUUUCUGUAGUCAAUACUCUUUAAUUGAUCUGCGUCUCUACAAUUUUUAGUUGUCACUGCUCUUUUUUCAGUCGCACCGCUUGAGUAUUCGGUACUUUAUUUUUUUUAAUGUUGUGAUUGUUGGUAAUAAGGAUGCCAAGCGUUGGUGAAAAAUGUUGGAAAAUGUUUCCAUUGUAUCAUAUGAUUGACUAUCUAGAGACAUUUUCCUAUUUGGCUACCGGUGAAACACUACAAGAUGAGAGGUGCCAAUGGAGGUUUCCUAUUCAAGCUAAUACCUGUGAGGUUUCAUCAUAAACAACAAAUCUGGCCAGUGUGUUAAUCUUGAAUGGGAUUUGAAUCUGAGUUGGAGCUGACAGUACUGAAGCUGGUGAUGAAGAAAUGUUGUUGUUGGUUUGUAGCUACAUAAGAGAUAGUGAUGGUGAUGCUUCUUUUGGUUUGAACGAGGUAUGGAGUCUGGUGGUAUGUGCAGCAGAGAAACAUCCAAUCCCAAGGGAUAUGAAUUGCAGUUAGACUUCUGAUGAUGUAGGAGAAGGGUUUCAAGUGACUAACGGAAGAUUUCAAGCUGCUACCGUGAUUCAGGGAAGAUUUCAAGCUUCUACUGUGACUGAUGGAGAUAAACAUGGAUGUGUGCAAUAAAUGCAGACGUUUUCGUUUGAUCUUCUGCCGGUUUCCUGAACAUGGAUGUAAAUGUAGUUUCGUUUUCUCAAUUAAUAAAAAGAAAAGGCGAUUGAGAGGAAUAGAAGAAGAAGAAGGUAAACGUAGAAGGCCUGGAAUUAUAUUGGUAAUCUAUUUCUUUUCUUUUUUGAUUUUAUUGAUUUUUUUUUCUUAGCAUCUGUGCUUAAUGAUUAUGUACUUUUCUUAAUAAUUUAAUUUUGAUUUGUAUGAUUGGCCAUAUGAUGAAAAAACAAUUAGGAGGGAGUUGGUAAAGCAUCAUUCAAGUUACUGUAGCACAAAUCCUUAAUUACGUGUAGCUCUCUAUACAGUCUACCUGAAGUGAAGCUGUUACCCUCCACCACAUCUUCAGCCUCGAAGUUUAAAUUAAAUGUUAUGUCUCAGCUCAAGCAAAUCAAUGCUUUCCGCUGGAUCAAGUGCUCUUCCAUCUAAAUUGCAGCUCCCAGCCAUUAAAAUGUAGAAAUCACAAAACUUAUAUAGCGUCCUUAUUCGAACGCAGUCUAAACAAUCUUGGGUAUUUUUCCUAUGAACAUUUUUAAUUUUGGGUUUCUACACUCUGCUUUGUCGAUGGGGAAGGUUGCCCAUGACUUGAUUUCUGAAGAUGAAUCCUUACAUGUUAUAAGGAGAAUCACCGCAAUUAGAAGGAAAGACAAAAGCAAAUCAAGUAAUGGGAAAGUUUGAAAGCUCUCAAGGAUUUGGUUAAAUUUUCUAUAUGAUUUUGUUUCGUGCCUAUUGUCCAUUAAUUAAUAUGUUAAUGGAAGCAUUCAUUGACGAUCCUUAUACUCAGGCUAUUACUAUAAAUCUUCAGAACCCAGAUCUUUUUCUGAUCGUUCUCAAGAUAAUAUCACCCUUCACCUGAUUUUUGUUUUAGUGAUUUUGGGGAUUUUCUUGGUGAUUUUUUACUGGGAUUUAUGUCGUUGGUGAGAGUACAUGCAAUAUGUUGUAUUGAAUUGGUGAAUAUAUAUUAGUUCUUGAAGUGUAUGAUGAAUUGUGUAAAUUAGUUCUGGGUUUUGUCAGAUGUGUUUAUUGUAUGAGCUGUGAUGGGUUUUCAAUGAGUUUGACUUGGCAAACUUUUGAGGAUAUAUACAAUUCAUGACUGAGAUUAGGUUCUGACAAAUAGGCAUUCUGUGUACAGAUUGAUACAGGAACUGAUAUACUGUAGGUUGAUUGCAAUUCAGGUUGCAGGAACUUAGCAAAGGUAUGCACAAGCUCACCCUGAAGAUUUUACACUAACUCAACUUAUUUUGCUUUAUUACAUGUCGUUGAAAAAUUGUUUAGGUUAGUUAAGCUUUCGCACCAGGAAUAGUCAGAGAUGUCAAUAUUGGAUAAAUUUUAUUUCAGUCUCAAGAAACCGACAUCAAUUGAAAUUGGUGGGAGUUGUUUAAUAUAAGUUGUAGCAAAGCCGUCUGUUUAUAAUGAUCUUUGUUGGUAAAUACCAUGCUGGAAAGUGCACCAAGAUAUGUUAAACCCGCUGAUGGAGGUGCUACUGAUGAGCAUAUGGAUCCAACAGCAGCAGCAGGCUGUAGAUGAUUGAACUUGCAGGCGAACCCAUAUUUACAAACCACGGUUCGCGUAUGUAAUAUAGACAUGGUGUUACUUCCUACUUCCAGUUCACUUUUUAUCUCUUUCUUUCUCAUCUAUUCUGUGAUCUUGACUCACUAUUUUAUUGAUUUGUUAAUAGGUACGCAAACAAGAAUUCUCAACCAAGGAUGAAUUUGAUUUCUCUCUAUCCUCUUUGCUUUCGAUAUAUAUAUUUGGGUUAUUAGGAGUACACUACAUAAUCAAUAGGCCUUUAACAAUUAUAGCAAUUAUGUACUUAUCAUUACAUGAAUUGUGAACACCUG